rnacentral:lncRNA from 1 species
GCAGAAUUCAAAGCACUGGGUAAUUGUUGCUGAAAUCUCACAAGUAGUUUCUUCUCCAUUGCAUGUCCAUGUGAGGUUAUCCAUCCAAUCUGCUUGUCGGUUACUGCACAGGUCCCUGAAAUACACAAAAAUCUUGGAAUCCAGAGAUUUCGCUGAGAAUUUUCUCUGAGCUAGUUUUGCAGAAUUGGGCCUCUCGUUUCCCAGGGCCAAAUCCUGGCUGUACCUGCACCCACAGCGCAGAGCUGGAUGGAGCUGUGCAUAAACUGGACUGUUUGAUCUCUAAAAGGCUGAAGAAAACCCCAGACCUGAUACCCCAUACAUUGGUCCAGGGCAGAGGUGUUCUGGGCAGUGUGAGUUGGUUAAAGUGACAGUAGACAGGAUGAAGAAGGAUUAUAUGGCAAUGGAGAACUGACUGGAUCCCUCAACCCAUUAUUUUGAUUUUUUUUUAAAGUAAGAGUUUUUGUAAAGAAAAUGUAAUAUUAUUUUGGGUAUUAGAUAAAGUCCAUAGAAACACAUUUGGCUUUUAAGGAGGAAUUCGGAUAUGACAGGGAUUGGCCCAAAUCAGUAGCUAGCUAGCUAAACAGAAUUCAUUUCAAACAAUUUGAGGAGAUUUGUUUGGGAUUAAUUUCCAUUCUCUAACUCUGGGGCAUGAAAGGAA